rnacentral:lncRNA from 1 species
CGGCGGGGCGGGAGGAGCCGAGGGAGGAGCCGAGCGCUCUUGAGCACUGAAGAUCUCCCAGCAAUGCCAGCAGAAGACGUGUGCUGAAGUACGGAGGUGCGUGGCUGUGCCGCAUGGGGAGAGGGCGUUCCUGUUCAUGACUGAUCUUUCCUGCUCAGCAACUGCUUGGUGCUGAUAGAACUGUGAGGAAACAUGCGCUGGAAGUCCUGCUGAUGUCUAAAAGCCUCAGGAUUUGGUGAGCACAAAGAUAAAAAGCUAAAUCUGUGCAAGGAAGCCUGGAGCAUCU